rnacentral:rRNA from 1 species
UACAGAGGGGGCAAGCGUUAUUCGGAAUUAUUGGGCGUAAAGGGCGCGUAGGCGGCUUUGCAAGUGACGUGUGAAAUCCCUCGGCUUAACCGGGGAACUGCCUGUCAAACUGCAUGGCUUGAGACCGGGAGAGGUGAGUGGAAUUCCCAGUGUAGCGGUGAAAUGCGUAGAUAUUGGGAGGAACACCAGUGGCGAAGGCGGCUCACUGGACCGGUACUGACGCUGAGGCGCGAAAGCGUGGGUAGCAAACAGG